rnacentral:misc_RNA from 1 species
CUGCUUGGCUUUCCCCAUCGUACGUGGCUGCUGAGCACCUCGCCGAGGCUACAGCAGCGCUCAGCACAGCUCCGGCCCGCCGGCGGUUUUCUCUACUCGACCUCCCUCAUCGCUGCAUCUGGACAUACGCUGCUGCUCGCCGCGCUCCCUGGUGUGCGAGCUUGCCGGCACCCAGUCCUCCUCUCCACGUCAGAGUCCUUACCUCACCAUCAAGACAUCGUCGUCGCGCCGUCAGCUCCCAGAAAAGGAAGUUGA